AUUGAACGCUGGCGGCAGGCCUAACACGUGCAAGUCGAGCGGAUGAAGGGAGCUUGCUCCUGGAUUCAGCGGCGGACGGGUGAGUAAUGCCUAGGAAUCUGCCUGGUAUUGGGGGAUAACGUCCGGAAACGGGCGCUAAUACCGCAUACGUCCUGAGGGAGAAAGUGGGGGAUCUUCGGACCUCACGCUAUCAGAUGAGCCUAGGUCGGAUUAGCUAGUUGGUGGGGUAAAGGCCUACCAAGGCGACGAUCCGUAACUGGUCUGAGAGGAUGAUCAGUCACACUGGAACUGAGACACGGUCCAGACUCCUACGGGAGGCAGCAGUGGGGAAUAUUGGACAAUGGGCGAAAGCCUGAUCCAGCCAUGCCGCGUGUGUGAAGAAGGUCUUCGGAUUGUAAAGCACUUUAAGUUGGGAGGAAGGGAAGUAAGUUAAUACCUUGCUGUUUUGACGUUACCAACAGAAUAAGCACCGGCUAACUUCGUG
rnacentral:rRNA from 1 species